rnacentral:tRNA from 1 species
UGGGUUGUAGUUUAAAAAGAACCCCUAAAUUGCACUUAGACAGUACCUUCGUCAACCCAA